CUACAGGGGUUUCUAAUCCCGUUCGCUCCCCUAGCUUUCGCGCCUCAGCGUCAAGAACAGGCCAGAAAGCCGCCUUCGCCACUGGUGUUCCUCCCGAUAUCUACGCAUUUCACCACUACACCGGGAAUUCCGCUUCCCUCUCCUGCCUUCGAGUCGAACAGUAUCGAAUGACCCUCCCCAGUUGAGCCGGGGGCUUUCACAUUCGACUGAUCCGACCGCCUGCGCGCUCUUUACGCCCAGUAAAUCCGGACAACGCUUGCCACCUACGUAUUACCGCGGCUGCUGGCAC
rnacentral:rRNA from 1 species